CGGACAGUGUCUGGUGGGUAGUUUGACUGGGGCGGUCUCCUCCUAAAGAGUAACGGAGGAGCACGAAGGUUGGCUAAUCCUGGUCGGACAUCAGGAGGUUAGUGCAAUGGCAUAAGCCAGCUUGACUGCGAGCGUGACGGCGCGAGCAGGUGCGAAAGCAGGUCAUAGUGAUCCGGUGGUUCUGAAUGGAAGGGCCAUCGCUCAACGGAUAAAAGGUACUCCGGGGAUAACAGGCUGAUACCGCCCAAGAGUUCAUAUCGACGGCGGUGUUUGGCACCUCGAUGUCGGCUCAUCACAUCCUGGGGCUGAAGUAGGUCCCAAGGGUAUGGCUGUUCGCCAUUUAAAGUGGUACGCGAGCUGGGUUUAGAACGUCGUGAGACAGUUCGGUCCCUAUCUGCCGUGGGCGCUGGAGAACUGAGGGGGGCUGCUCCUAGUACGAGAGGACCGGAGUGGACGCAUCACUGGUGUUCGGGUUGUCAUGCCAAUGGCACUGCCCGGUAGCUAAAUGCGGAAGAGAUAAGUGCUGAAAGCAUCUAAGCACGAAACUUGCCCCGAGAUGAGUUCUCCCUGAGACUUAGAGUCUCCUGAAGGAACGUUGAAGACGACGACGUUGAUAGGCCGGGUGUGUAAGCGCAGCGAUGCGUUGAGCUAACCGGUACUAAUGAACCGUGAGGCUUAACCUUACAAC
rnacentral:rRNA from 1 species